UCUCUAUCUAUGGUUCUCUCUAGAAUCUUCCCCCUCCCAUUCAGCUCCGAUGAGUUUUACUCACCUUCUCCGGUCACCUCCUUGCUAGGAUCUAUGGUGGUUUCACCACCCACCGGCCCUCUAAGGUUCCUACACACUUUUUUAUCGAGGUUUCAUGGUAUGAAUACAAAGAAGCUUCAUCCAGACCUGGUUCAAUUCAAGUUUUAUGGCCAUCUUCGGCCUUUCUCCGGCAAGCCAUGCAUGUUUCGAGCUUGGCCUCGACUUCUCUUGGUUAGAUCAUCGAUCCAAGUCUUUCUCACCGUUUGGGUUCCUCUGAAACCCUAGAUUUUUUAGUUCUUCUAAUUUCUUAAGAUCUGUUCUAGAUCCGGG
rnacentral:lncRNA from 1 species